GAUGAACGCUGGCGGCGUGCCUAAUACAUGCAAGUCGAGCGAAUGGAUUAAGAGCUUGCUCUUAUGAAGUUAGCGGCGGACGGGUGAGUAACACGUGGGUAACCUGCCCAUAAGACUGGGAUAACUCCGGGAAACCGGGGCUAAUACCGGAUAAUAUUUUGAACUGCAUGGUUCAAAAUUGAAAGGCGGCUUCGGCUGUCACUUAUGGAUGGACCCGCGUCGCAUUAGCUAGUUGGUGAGGUAACGGCUCACCAAGGCAACGAUGCGUAGCCGACCUGAGAGGGUGAUCGGCCACACUGGGACUGAGACACGGCCCAGAGUCCUACGGGAGGCAGCAGUAGGGAAUCUUCCGCAAUGGACGAAAGUCUGACGGAGCAACGCCGCGUGAGUGAUGAAGGCUUUCGGGUCGUAAAACUCUGUUGUUAGGGAAGAACAAGUGCUAGUUGAAUAAGCUGGCACCUUGACGGUACCUAACCAGAAAGCCACGGCUAACUACGUGCCAGCCGCCGCCGUAA
rnacentral:rRNA from 1 species